UGAGUUUGAUCCUGGCUCAGGAUGAACGCUAGUAGUAUGCUUUACACAUGCAAGUUGAACGGAAAAUUCAUUUUUCCGUGGCGUACGGGUGAGUAUUCGCAGAAUUUUUCCUUUCAAUUCAGAACAAAAAUUUACUUGAUUAAAUUCAAAUACUGAAUAUUUUUAAAGGUUCAUUCCGUUGAAAGAUAAAUCUGCAUAAGAUUAGGUUGUUGGUAAAUUCAAAGCUUACCAAGCCCACGAUCUUUAGUUGGUCUUAGAGGAUGAUCAACCACACUGGAACUGAAAUAAGGUCCAGGCUGACACGUCGGCCAGCAGUGAGGGAUAUUGGACAAUGAACGAAAGUUUGAUCCAGCAAUACUAACUGGGUGAUUGACGGCUUAUUUAAGUUGUAAGAUCCUUUAAUUAAAGAAGAUAAUGACAUUAUUUAAUUGAAUUUUAGUCCUGGCUAAUACUCGUGCCAGCAGCCGCGGUAAUACGGGAAGGGCAAGCGUUAUCCGGCAUGACUGGGCGUAAAGAGUCCGUAGACUGUAGAGUAAGUUUUUUGUUAAAUUUUAAGACCUAAUCUUAAACUUGCAAUUAAUACUGCUUUGCUUUGAGUUUAAUACAGAAAAGUAGAAUUUUAUACGACAGGGGUGAAAUCCGUAGAUAUAUAAAGGAAUGCCAACAGCGAAGGCAACUUUUUGGUAUAAACUGACGUUGAGGGACGAAAGCGUGGGUAGCAAACAGGAUUAGAGACCCUGGUAGUCCACGCCGUAAAUUCUGAGUGCUGUAAUUUAAUUGUAAUAUUCUUUUAUAUUACUUAGAUUUUCAAGCUAACGCAAUAAGCACUCCGCCUGAGGAGUACGAUCGCAAGAUUGGAACUCAAAGGAAUUGACGGGGGUCUAACACUAGUGGUGGAGCAUGUGGUUUAAUGCGAUAAUCCGCGCAAAAUCUUACCAAUUCUUGACAUAUUUGAACAAUUAUACAAAUUAAUAUGGUUUUUAUGUAUGAUGUUUUUUUACAGGUGUUGCAUGACUGUCGUCAGCUCGUGUCGUGAGACGUCUGGUUAGGUCCUGAAACGGGCGCAACUCUUACUUUUUACAAAGUUUUUACAGAUUAAAAGUUUUUAUGAUAUAAAAAUCUUUUAAAUGCUUUAAAAGUACGGUCAACGAUAAGUUGAAGGAAGGUAAGAAUGAAGUCAAGUCACCAUGACCCUGAUGAAUUGGGCUACACAUGUGCUACAAUGAAAAUUACAAAAAGUGACAAAAAAGAAAUUUUAAGUUAAUCAACAAAAAUUUUCCCAGUUCGGAUUGUAAACUGCAACUCGUUUACAUGAAGUUGGAAUCACUAGUAAUCGCAAAUCAGCACGUUGCGGUGAACAUGUAACUUGGCCUUGUACACACCGCCCGUCACUUGCAAAGAAUCAGUUUCGCUUGAAGAUUUUAAUAAAAUCCAUUGAGAGAUUGAUAAUUUGGAUGAAGUCGUAACAAGGUAGCUGUACGGGAACGUGUAGCUG
rnacentral:rRNA from 1 species